CCCUUAGAUGUUCUGGGCCGCACGCGCGCUACAAUGAUGAAUUCAACGAGUUUAUAACCUUGGUUGAAAAGCCUGGGUAAUCUUUUGAACUUUCGUCGUGAUGGGGCUAGACCCUUGCAAUUAUUGGUCUCCAACGAGGAAUUCCUAGUAAACGCAAGUCAUCAGCUUGCAUUGAUUACGUCCCUGCCCUUUGUACACACCGCCCGUCGCUCCUACCGAUUGAGUGCUCCGGUGAACAAUUUGGACUGCUUUGAUUCGAUUAGAAUUUGAAGCGGAAAGUUUAGUGAACCUUAUCACUUAGAGGAAGGAGAAGUCGUAACA
rnacentral:rRNA from 1 species